rnacentral:lncRNA from 1 species
AAAAUUUAACUAUGUUUGUCUCUAUCUAUUUCUCUAUAUUGUUGUUUUACUUUUAGUGUUUGUGUGUUAGAAGAAGUUGUCUCUACGAGGGAGCGUUUACGGCCACGGUUGAUUAGCGCAAAGUACGUUAUUUUUCUCACUUUUUUUAGUCUUUACUAUUAUCCACUUUGAUUUUGUUUUAAUCUUUAUUAUUAUUACACUGUUUGUUGAUUUUGUUUGUCUACGCGAUAUAUAGCCGUAUUUAAGGACGUCCACUACCGAGUGAUAAAUGUCACGGAAGAAGUAUUGUUUAGAGAGAACACCAAAGUGCUCUACAAGCAAUGGAUAAAAGAGAUGAAUCACUUGAAGGUUUUUGAAUUAAUUUAUUAGAAUCUACAUUAAAUGUAAGUGUUUUAAUUUAAUUUCACUACUAUAUAAUUGUAUAGGAUGGCCUAUAGUCUGGUUCUAUAGAUGCAGCAUAAAAAAUUGAAUUGGUC